CGGGCGGCCGUGACCCUGCUGGAGUGCGGGGGGGACCUCCAGCCCCCCAGGGGGUCCCUGCGCCUCAUCUGCCGAGGGUCUGGGUUCAGUUUAAGGGAUUAUGGAAUGUACUGGAUCCGCCAGAGACCCGGGCAGGCUUUGGAAUACGUCGCAGGCAUCUACUACAAUAGUGCCAACACUUUCUACACGCCUUCGGUCAAGGGCCGGUUCACGAUCUCCAGGGACAACGGGCAGAGCUCGGUGACGCUGACCAUGAACAACCUCAAGGACGAGGAUUCCGCCGUUUAUUUCUGCGCCAAGUGUGCUGCUAAUAAUUUCCCUGAACAUGGUGCUCAUCUCAGCGGGGUUCACUUGUGA